AUUGACCGCUGGCGGCAGGCCUAACACAUGCAAGUCGGACGAGCGGCGGACGGGUGGGUAAUGUAUGGGAAUCUGCCUGAUGGAGGGGGAUAACUACUGGACACGGUAGCUAAUACCGCAUACCAUCAGAUGUGCCCAGAUGGGAUUAGCUUGUAGGGGAGGUAACGGCUCACCUAGGCCACGCUCCCUAGCUGGUCUGAGAGGAUGAGCAUCCACACUGGGACUGAGACACGGCCCAGACGCCUACGGGAGGCAGAAGUGGGGAAUAUUGCACAAGGGGCGCAAGCCUGAUGCAGCCAUGCCGCGUGUAUGAAGAAGGCCUUCGGGUUGUAAAGUACUUUCAGUCGGGAGGCGUUACCGACAGAAGAAGCACCGGCUAACUCCGUGCCAGCCGCCGCGGUAAUUC
rnacentral:rRNA from 1 species